rnacentral:rRNA from 1 species
CCCUUAGAUGUUCUGGGCCGCACGUGUGCUACACUGAGUGGAUCAGCGGGUCAGGUUACGCGAGAGCGUUUCCUAAUCUUCAAAUCCGCUCGUGAUGGGGAUUGACGGUUGCAAUUUUCCGUCAUGAACGGGGAAUACCUUGUAAGCGCGGGUCAUCAUCCCGCGCUGAAUACGUCCCUGCCCUUUGUACACACCGCCCGUCGCUCCUACCGAUUGAGUGGUCCGGUGAGGCUUUGGGAUCUAAGCGAAAAGAGCGUUUCGCUCCUUUUGCUGGGAGAACUCAGUCGAACCUUAUCAUUUAGAGGAAGGAGAAGUCGUAACA